rnacentral:rRNA from 1 species
UACGGGAGGCAGCAGUGGGGAAUUUUGGACAAUGGGCGAAAGCCUGAUGCAGCCCGCCGCGUGAGUGAUGAAGGCCUUCGGGUUGUAAAGCUCUAUCGGCCGGGACGAAAGUGACAUUCUCUAAUACAGGAUGUGGAUGACGGUACCGGACUAAGAAGCACCGGCUA